UCAAAGAUUUCUUCUGUUUAACUGCCAUGCAAACUGAUCAGCAGCCAUUACAGCACUCGAGACCGCUCCAAUUGAACCGUCAUACAUGCCUCCAAGAUG